AUUGAACGCUGGCGGAAUGCUUUACACAUGCAAGUCGAGCGGCAGCACGGGGGCAACCCUGGUGGCGAGCGGCGAACGGGUGAGUAACACAUCGGAACAUGCCCAGUCGUGGGGGAUAACACUUCGAAAGAAGUGCUAAUACCGCAUACGUCCUGAGGGAGAAAGCGGGGGAUCGCAAGACCUCGCGCGAUUGGAGUGGCCGAUGUCAGAUUAGCUAGUUGGUGGGGUAAAGGCCAACCAAGGCAACGAUCUGUAGCUGGUCUGAGAGGAUGAUCAGCCACACUGGGACUGAGACCCGGCCCAGACUCCUACGGGAGGCAGCAGUGGGGAAUUUUGGACAAUGGGGGCAACCCUGAUCCAGCCAUUCCGCGUGAGUGAAGAAGGCCUUCGGGUUGUAAAGCUCUUUCGGCAGGAACGAAACGGUGAGCUCUAACAUAGCUUGCUAAUGACGGUACCUGAAAAAGAAGCACCGGCUAACUACGU
rnacentral:rRNA from 1 species